GAUGAACGCUGGCGGCGUGCCUAAUACAUGCCAGUCGAGCGAACAGACGAGGAGCUUGCUCCUCUGACGUUAGCGGCGGACGGGUGAGUAACAUGUGGAUAACCUACCUAUAAGACUGGGAUAACUUCGGGAAACCGGAGCUAAUACCGGAUAAUAUAUUGAACCGCAUGGUUCAAUAGUGAAAGACGGUUUUGCUGUCACUUAUAGAUGGAUCCGCGCCGCAUUAGCUAGUUGGUAAGGUAACGGCUUACCAAGGCGACGAUGCGUAGCCGACCUGAGAGGGUGAUCGGCCACACUGGAACUGAGACACGGUCCAGACUCCUACGGGAGGCAGCAGUAGGGAAUCUUCCGCAAUGGGCGAAAGCCUGACGGAGCAACGCCGCGUGAGUGAUGAAGGUCUUCGGAUCGUAAAACUCUGUUAUUAGGGAAGAACAAAUGUGUAAGUAACUAUGCACGUCUUGACGGUACCUAAUCAGAAAGCCACGGCUAACUACGUG
rnacentral:rRNA from 1 species